GGUGCUGGGACUGAGGGAAAUGCCUCUCCUGGUAAUCUUAAUUCCCCUUCAUACUUUUAAUUCUAGGUGUAUGGAAAUCUGAACAUUUACUCCAACUUCAGUGGAUGCCGUCCAGUCCCUUCAGCGCUGCCUGGACACCGUACUGGAAUGGAUGCAGUCAAAUGGAUUGAGGCUGAACCCGGACAAGACGGAGGUCUUGAGGGUGGGUGGCCCUCCCGUCAGCGGCAUAGGUGACUCCCUUUCUUUUGGAGGGACGACCCUUGCCACAAAGAGUGAGGUCCGCAGCUUGGGGAUACAUCUGGACCCGGCGCUAACCAUGGAAACCCAGGUGGCGUCCGUGGUCCGUUCUGCCUAUUUUCAUCUAUGGCGGAUUGCCCAGCUGCGGCCAUAUCUUGAUCGCGGGGCCCUCACUACUCUAGUCCACACGCUCGUAAUCUCGAGACUAGACCAUUGUAAUGCACUCUACGUGGGGCUGCCUUUGAGGCUCUUGCGGAAACUCCAGAUGGUCCAGAAUGCAGCAGCCAGGCUUAUUAGUGGGGUGAGAAAAUAUCAGCACAUCUCCCCCACUCUGGCUGCGCUGCACUGGUUACCUAUUCGUUUCCGCAUUGACUUCAAAGUAUUAAUGAUUACAUAUAAAGCCCUAAACGGUUUGGGACCUCAAUAUUUGGCAGAUCGCCUCUUCCCACCCAGAUCUACCCGAGUCACCCGACAAAGCCAGCAGGGACGGCUGAGGGGACUGACGCCGAGGGAGGCCCGGAAGGAGAAAACAAGAAACCGGGCCUUCUCGGCAGUUGCCCCUCGGCUGUGGAACACACUUCCCACUGAAAUUCGGCUGGCACCCUCGCUGGGUGUGUUCAAAAACCAACUAAAAACAUGGUUAUUCAGACAGGCCUUCCCCCCAGUCACCUAAGUUCCUUCCCCCUUUUUUCUGGUUCUUAAUGUUGCCAUCUUGGAUAAUAUUAAUUAUAAUAAUUGCAUUAUGUUAGUUAUUNNNNNNNNNNNNNNNNNNNNNN
rnacentral:lncRNA from 1 species